rnacentral:rRNA from 1 species
GAUGAACGCUGGCGACGUGCCUAAUACAUGCAAGUCGAGCGAACGGACGAGAAGCUUGCUUUUCUGAUGUUAGCGGCGGACGGGUGAGUAACACGUGGAUAACCUACCUAUAAGACUGGGAUAACUUCGGGAAACCGGAGCUAAUACCGGAUAAUAUUUUGAACCGCAUGGUUCAAAAGUGAAAGACGGUCUUGCUGUCACUUAUAGAUGGAUCCGCGCUGCAUUAGCUAGUUGGUAAGGUAACGGCUUACCAAGGCAACGAUGCAUAGCCGACCUGAGAGGGUGAUCGGACACACUGCAACUGCGACACGGUCCAGACUCCUACGGGAGGCAGCAGUAGGGAAUCUUCCGCAAUGGGCGAAAGCCUGACGGAGCAACGCCGCGUGAGUGAUGAAGGUCUUCGGAUCGUAAAACUCUGUUAUUAGGGAAGAACAUAUGUGUAAGUAACUGUGCACAUCUUGACGGUACCUAAUCAGAAAGCCACGGCUAACUACGUG